rnacentral:rRNA from 1 species
UAUCCGGAUUUAUUGGGUUUAAAGGGAGCGUAGGCCGGGGAUUAAGUGUGUUGUGAAAUGUAGGCGCCCAACGUCUGACUUGCAGCGCAUACUGGUUCCCUUGAGUACGCGCAACGCCGGCGGAAUUCGUCGUGUAGCGGUGAAAUGCUUAGAUAUGACGAAGAACCCCGAUUGCGAAGGCAGCCGGCGGGAGCGCAACUGACGCUGAAGCUCGAAGGUGCGGGUAUCGAACAGG